GUUGGCUGGAUGUGUCCGUCUGUCCCUCCAAACUUCUUGUGAAGAAGACAAGGAAGUACACCUGGCAGGAGAAGUAAGGCUUAGAAGUUUUAUUGAUUUUACCAGAGCCAUGGUGGGGAGAGAAGCCUGAAGCUCCGUGGUCUUCGCUGCCCGUUGAUUCUGCCGCCCUUCCCAUGAGCAGGAAGAGUCACCCCCCUCGUUUCUGUGAGGACAAUGACUUGCUCAUGAUGUUCUGUGAUGUCUCAGAUGCUUCUGCCAGGGGAAAGAGAGUAAGAAAACUGCAAGAUCGUUCCCAGGCUCUGUUGAUACUCACCGUCUUCCGUAAGAAACACAGAAGGCGUGCCGUACAUCUCAUUAGAAUCAACAAAGUACAGAAUUCCACAGAGGUUGGCCUUGCAAUAAUGGAGUAAAUAAAGCCACAGUGAAAUGGUGACCCUAAAGGAGGGAGGCAGAAGGAAAAUUCUGCAGAUUGAUAUCAUCCAAGAACAGGUACGUGUAUUACCUUUGCAGCUAAGGAAGACAAGAACAAAGGCUCUGAAUAUUUCUAUGCAGUCAGAGAGAAGAAACCAACUGCAUUCCACUGGCGCCUCUACCCCGGGCCUCCGAGGCUGCUCAGCUCAGCCCAAUCGCUUCAAAGAGACAAAGUCCAGUGGGUGAAGGAAACAUGAUUCACAUCGAUCAAAAGUCAACUUUAAGAAAAGGAUUCCUUCUCAUUUAGAACCUGGGUUAGGGCUGUAUUAGCAUAUCUCAGAGAGGCGGCAUAGCAAAGCAGAAAGAACGGAGGUUUGGACUCCAGUUAAAUAAUCUCCCUGAGCCUCUUUUUUUUUUUCCCCUUCAUUAGGAAGAGGAUGAGAAUAACACCGUCUUUCCCUUGGGAUUGUUACAAGGAUUAAACGAGACAAUGUGCCUGGAAAAAGUGUUUUGUUCAUUGUAAAGGGCAAUGCAGAUGCGAGCCACUAAUUAGUGUUAUUACUGGAAAUCUCAGACUACUGUGAUUAACUGGGGAAAGGGGGACUGAGUCUCUGGGUUUUUUUAAGUCCAAAUAUAUCACUUAUAAUUAGAAAUGGAUC